rnacentral:lncRNA from 1 species
CUUGACUAUCUUGAUAAUCUGCCCACCGCAAUUUCUGGGUGGGAUCCUUUUGUCUGGCCUUCUGACUGGAUGAUUGUUGAGGCUGACUGGUGGAUGAUUGAGACUUUGGGAGGCAUCAUCAUUAUCUUCAUCUUCCAUUUGAGAAGCUUGAAGAAUUAGUUGUCGGGCAAUUUCUUACAAUUUUGUCUUCGAUUUUCCUUCGAUUGGGAGGGAAGAAUGAGAUGUUCUAGAAGAGGAUGACUUUUGGGAA